rnacentral:rRNA from 1 species
AGUAACGCGUGGGCAACCUGCCCCGCACUGGGGGACAACAGCCGGAAACGGCUGCUAAUACCGCAUAUGCGCACAGCUUUGCAUGAAGCAGUGUGGAAAACUCCGGUGGUGCGGGAUGGGCCCGCGUCUGAUUAGCUGGUUGGCGGGGCAACGGCCCACCAAGGCGACGAUCAGUAGCCGGCCUGAGAGGGUGGACGGCCACAUUGGGACUGAGACACGGCCCAGACUCCUACGGGAGGCAGCAG